rnacentral:rRNA from 1 species
AACGCUAGCGGCAGGCUUAAACAUGCAAGUCGAGGGGUAACAUUGUGCUUGCACAGAUGACGACCGGCGCACGGGUGCGUAACGCGUAUAGAACCUACCUUUUACAGAGGAAUAGCCUUUAGAAAUGAAGAUUAAUGCCUCAUAGUAUUGUAGACUGGCAUCAGUUUAUAAUUAAAGAUUUAUCGGUAAAAGAUGGCUAUGCGUCCUAUUAGUUAGUUGGUAAGGUAACGGCUUACCAAGACAGCGAUAGGUAGGGGUCCUGAGAGGGAGAUCCCCCACACUGGUACUGAGACACGGACCAGACUCCUACGGGAGGCAGCAGUGAGGAAUAUUGGACAAUGGAGGAGACUCUGAUCCAGCCAUGCCGCGUGUAGGAAGAAUGCCCUAUGGGUUGUAAACUACUUUUAUACAGGAAGAAACACUGGUAUGUAUACCAGCUUGACGGUACUGUAAGAAUAAGGACCGGCUAA